rnacentral:misc_RNA from 1 species
AACGCAUCUUGCACCCUUUGGUAUUCCAAAGGGUACGCCUGUUUCAGUAUCAUUAUAACCUUUCUCCCCAAGGCUUUUUGGCCAAGGAGGGAAAGAGCAUAACCGGUGGCCCAGCGGUCUCCCAUCAGGGGGAUUGUCUCGGCUGGAAUGACUGUUGCAAUGGUGGGCCAAAUGGUCUUCCGCACUUGAUAAAUGUACUUUUAUAAAGAGCGGGGCCGGUCUGCCGAAAGUUGUAACUAAACCCUUUACCUUUGAUCUGAAAUCAGGCGGGAUUACCCGCUGAACUUAA